CCACCUUUUUUUUCCCUCCAACUUUUGCUUCUGUGGGAGUAUUCAUCCUGCAUCCACCACCAAGUAGCGUCAGGACUUCCAGAAAAUCGGAGAGACAAUCCUGACUGAAAAAAUGGAUGCUGUCGAUCGAGGGGAGGGUCAUAAUUCCACCUGCUGCUCACCUGACUGACUUCGCCACUGCCUUGGCCGCUCUCUUCGCCUGUUACUAUGUUUUCAACCUAGAGUGUCAGGUGCAAGCCAACACAACAUUGGAGUUUGUUCAGAGGUUUUUGGUCAGGAUUAAUCCUGACUCCACUAAGUGCAGUGCCAAGGAGCAGAUGAGCAGGAAGACUGGGAGAGUGGUAAAGUGGAAGACUUCCUACAUGAACCCCCAUGUGAUCUCCAUCAGGGACUUCACUGAGUUCGAUUGGCUAAGUGACUAGA